rnacentral:misc_RNA from 1 species
GAUGAAGAACGUAUCGAAAUGCGAUAAGUAAUGUGAAUUGCAGAAUUCAGUGAAUCAUCGAAUCUUUGAACGCACAUUGCGCCCGCCAGUAUUCUGGCGGGCAUGCCUGUUCGAGCGUCAUUUCAACCAUCAAGCCCCCGGCUUGUGUUGGGGACCUGCGGCUGCCGCAGGCCCUGAAAACCAGUGGCGGGCUCGCUAGUCACUCCGAGCGUAGUAAUACAUCUCGCUCAGGGCGUGCUGCGGGUUCCGGCCGUUAAAAAAGCCUUAUUUACCCAAGGUUGACCUCGGAUCAGGUAGGAAGACCCGCUGAACUUAAGCAUAUCAAUAAGCGGAGGA